rnacentral:misc_RNA from 1 species
GAUGAAGAACGUAGCAAAAUGCGAUAAGUAAUGUGAAUUGCAGAAUUCAGUGAAUCAUCGAAUCUUUGAACGCACAUUGCGCCCGCCAGUAUUCUGGCGGGCAUGCCUGUUCGAGCGUCAUUUCGACCCUCAAGCACAGCUUGGUGUUGGGACUCGCGUUAAUUCGCGUUCCCCAAAUUGAUUGGCGGUCACGUCGAGCUUCCAUAGCGUAGUAGUAAAACCCUCGUUACUGGUAAUCGUCGCGGCCACGCCGUUAAACCCCAACUUCUGAAUGUUGACCUCGGAUCAGGUAGGAAUACCCGCUGAACUUAAGCAUAUCAAUAAGCGGAGGA